rnacentral:rRNA from 1 species
GACAGAGGUUGCAAACGUUGUUCGGAAUUACUGGGCAUAAAGCGCACGUAGGCGGUCCGUUAAGUCAUGUGUGAAAUCCCCCGGCUCAACCGGGGAAUUGCGCCUGAUACUGUCGGGCUAGAGGUCGAUAGGGGUGAGCGGAACUCCAGGUGGAGCGGUGAAAUGCGUAGAUAUCUGGAGGAACACCGGUGGCGAAAGCGGCUCACUGGAUCGAAACUGACGCUGAGGUGCGAAAGCUAGGGUAGCAAACGGG